rnacentral:rRNA from 1 species
GAUGAACGCUGGCGGCGUGCCUAAUACAUGCAAGUCGAGCGAACAGACGAUGAGCUUGCUCCUCUGACGUUAGCGGCGCACGGGUGAGUAACACGUGGAUAACCUACCUAUAAGACUGGGAUAACUUCGGGAAACCGGCGCUAAUACCGGAUAAUAUAUUGAACCGCAUGGUUCAAUAGUGAAAGACGGUUUUGCUGUCACUUAUAGCUGGAUCCGCGCCGCAUUGGCUAGUUGGUAAGGUAACGGCUUACCAAGGCAACGAUGCGUAGCCGACCUAAGAGGGUGAUCGGCCACACUGGAACUGAGACACGGUCCAGACUCCUACGGGAGGCAGCAGUAGGGAAUCUUCCGCAAUGGGCGAAAGCCUGACGGAGCAACGCCGAGUGAGUGAUGAAGGUCUUCGGAUCGUAAAACUCUGUUAUUAGGGAAGAACAAAUGUGUAAGUAACUAUGCACGUCUUGACGGUACCUAAUCAGAAAGCCACGGCUAACUACGUG